rnacentral:rRNA from 1 species
UACGGAGGGAGCUAGCGUUGUUCGGAAUUACUGGGCGUAAAGCGUACGUAGGCGGUUAUUCAAGUCAGAGGUGAAAGCCCGGGGCUCAACCCCGGAACUGCCUUUGAAACUAGGUAACUGGAGUCUUGGAGAGGUCAGUGGAAUUCCGAGUGUAGAGGUGAAAUGCGUAGAUAUGUGGAGGAACACCAAUGGCGAAGGCAGCCCCCUGGGUCAACACUGACGCUCAUGCACGAAAGCGUGGGGAGCAAACAGG